rnacentral:rRNA from 1 species
GAUAAACGCUAGCGGCAGGCUUAACACAUGCAAGUCGAGGGGCAGCAUAGAUUGUAGCAAUACAAUUGGUGGCGACCGGCGCACGGGUGCGUAACGCGUAUGCAACCUACCCGUCACAGGGGGAUAAUCCGGAGAAAUCUGGUCUAAUACCCCAUAACAUAUGGAUCGGCAUCGGUUCAUGUUGAAAUUUUCGGAGGUGACGGAUGGGCAUGCGUAGCAUUAGCUUGUUGGUGAGGUAACGGCUCACCAAGGCGACGAUGCUUAGGGGGACUGAGAGGUUUUCCCCCCACACUGGUACUGAGACACGGACCAGACUCCUACGGGAGGCAGCAGUGAGGAAUAUUGGUCAAUGGGCGCAAGCCUGAACCAGCCAUGCCGCGUGCAGGAUAACGGCUCUAUGAGUUGUAAACUGCUUUUGUACGAGGGUAAACCCAGGGACGUGUCCUUGGUUGAAAGUACCGUACGAAUAAGGAUCGGCUAACUCCGUGCCAGCAGCCGCCGUAA